GGCUGCGGGGGAUCCAGGGCGCCCCCAGCUCACGAGUCCCGAGGGCACUUAACAGCCGUUCCCGGCUUGGCGGGUCACGGCCCCCCGGGAGGCCCCACUUCCAGGCUUCUGCUUGUCGCGCUCUCAACCGUGGCGCCUCGCCGCCCCCGCCCCCAUCGCAUCCGGCCCCGGACGCUCCAGCCCCGGCCGCUGCCACCCCGCGCCCAGACCCCACCUUCCCGGCUGCGGCUCCCGCCUGCGGAGACCCGGCCCGGCGUCAGCUCGAGUCGCCCAGCCGUUGGCCUUGCCCCAGAGCGGCUCCUCAAUCGACUCUCUCCAGAGUUCAGCUGCGGGGUUCCACUGCACUGCGAAGUGCGCCAGCACUGCUGCGGGCUACCCCUGGGCCAGGCUGGGGUGGAGGGCGCGGGGCUCGCAGGUGUCGGCCGGGACUUCCCCACUUCUGUCCCUGGGAGAGGCAAAAACGAAAAGCGCCUGACUUGUCACCUCCAGUUGCGGUGCCCAGAGACUUGCUUGGGGAGAUACUGCCCAUGUAAACAAAUCGAGUGGCAGGCAGCGGGGGAGGAAAAAAACUCCGCCAGCAGUAGGAAUCAGUUAUCUCCUUGCUCCGGGCUUGUGGGCGGGAAAGAAGGAAUGGGUGUCUCCCAACUGACAGUUUAAGCUGCGUCCCGCCUCCGAAGACCCAGGGCUUGCUUUAGACCUGGUGGCAAUUGAGAUCCCAGAAACCAGCUCCACCAGCCAGUCAAUCCUCUGGUACCUGCUGAGAUUGAAUCCACUUGUGUUUCCUUAAGAUUUGGAAUGGGGAGUGGGUACACUGUACCCUGACGCCACAAGGGGAGAAGGUCCAGGGACUGGAGACUGGAGGCAGUAACGGCCAGGCAGGGAGGGCCUGGGGUUGGUCUCCCAGGGCAGGAUGGGACUUGCAGUCAGGUGUGGGCUGCCUGCUGUCCCAGACUGUGGAGUUGGAUGGGGUCUACGAGGUGUUUAAGGAAAGGACCUGCAGAUCUUCAUGGCUGAACUUCUAGGUAGGAUCUGCUGUCUGGCACAUCUCCACCACGUACUGGCCCAGUUUUUCUACUCCUCUGAAUUCCAGUCUCCCCGCAUAUAAACCGUGGGCGAUAAUGCCCACCUGCUAGUCUGGUUGUGAGGACACAGUGCCAGAAGGUGUGGACCAGCCCAGCAUUUAGCGGUGAUCAAUUUGUGUUAGGCCCAGGGUGCAGAUGUGUUCUUAGGAAUAUGAUGGAGCCUCAUCUCACCUCAUCCUCAUGACACUGAUGUGAAGUGAUUGGUGGUCCAUUGUACAGAUGUGGAAAUGAAGACUCCAAUUCAUGUAUAGUGAUGAACAGUACGGAAAUGCCACGGAGCCUGCAUUCUUCCAAGAGAUGAACCACAAAUCAGUGAGCAAGCAAAUCCACACUGGGGCACUUGCUCAAGGUUUUUUAUAGCUGCUAAGGGGAGAAUUCUGAUAUCAUCCCCUCCACCCCAACCCCAUGAUAAAGGAAUCUUAGGGACAUGGUCCCUGUCCUCAGGGAUUUGUGACCUGGAUAAGGGAGGAUUUAGCAAAGCUAGCAUUGUGUCCCAGAGUGGGGACCACUGGGCAGGUAAUUAAGCACUAAAUGGUGUGAGCCACCAAGUAACAGGGAGCAAGAGGUCACUGUGUGUUGGGAAGUUGGAAAAGGCUUGCAGUAGGAGGUGGGGUUUGAGCUGAGCCUUAAAUCGUGCUAGGUCCUUAACCGCUUGUUCUUAGAAAUGGAAUUUUCUUGUCCCACUGCCCAGUUCUUUGGGUGGAGGCUUUGUUUUCAAAUGUGGAGAAGGAAGAAUUUCCUUCCUUCCACCCUCCCUCCUUUCUUUCUUUUCCUCCCUGCAGUUGAGGCAAUAGCGGGAACCAUGCCCACGUGUUAAAAGCCAACACAUACAUGGCAUUUUAGGGCCACUGUCACCCUAGGCCCUGCACUGUGCUUUGUGUACAUGCUUGUGUCAUCUGAGUAUCGUCCGUGGUGGCUGUAAUGCUGUUUCCCUUGGGAACACAGUAGCACCAUCUGACCUCAUGCAGGAAACCCACAAAGCAUCUCAUUCCUACCAUGUCUCCGAGUCAGGAGCCAUCACUCCCACAACGGAUGAGGGAAGUGAGAUUUAAAUUAGAUAAGCAGUGCACUGUCUGUGGUUAGCAGGUGGUUGGACAGGGUCCAGACUCCAGCGUGUGGUUUUUCCCUACGAUCCAGGCUGCUAUGUAGCAAAGGUCUGGCCAGAUGUCUUACAGAAAGUCUUUAAUUACUUCUGUCCCCCAAGGAAGAAGCAAGUCCCCCCACCCCAAAUCUGGGAUAGAAUGUGUGUAGUUGUAAGCACAUGCGUCUGUCUGUUGGAGCAUAGGGGACGUCCUGGACCAGCAGCACUACCAGUAUGUGGGAUCUCACUAGAGGCGAAGAUGCACAUGCCCACCCAGACCUGCUCUGUCAGAGACGGCCGGGGGGAGGGUGGGCACCAUCUCUGUGCUAACAAGCCCUCUGGGGGUUCUGGGGGAUUCAGAAGCGCUAAUUUAGACUAGAAAGAGACCUUGAGAGAUGAAGCCACUAAGACAAGAAGAGAUCUGUUCCCUCCCCAGGCACAGAGCCAACCUGGAGUCAUUUAGACUCCAGUGUCGCCCUCCAGCUCGAGGACCUGAAUGGUCCGUCCACCAUUCAGAGCCGUGGUGCUUCUCUGCCCUGUGCUCUGGGUUAGGCUGCACACGCACACGCACAAAUAUGGACAGGACAUUGGGUCCCUGUCUGCAGAGGGGCAGCAAGUGUAACACCUCAGGAACAGUGAGAGGGAGGCAUGAGGUCCACGGGAUGGGAAGUGCUCAGUGAGAGUGGAAAUGUGCAGGCCAGACCUACAGGAGUGUGGGCACCAGGUGAGGGGCAGCAGUGUGGACAGUAGGACAGUGUCCCCCAGGCACGGAGAAAUAGUGCAAAGGCCCUGAGGCAGGAAGGAGCUCACUAGACUCAACAUGAUUGGUGGGGGGGAGGUUAAAUCACAUGGAGCCUUAGUGGCUGCUUGUUGAGCACUUCCUACGUGCCGGGGGAGGCACGUAGGGGACACUGUACUUGGGGCUCCGUGCUGACCUGCCUGGAUUCCUGCCAUCCUUCAGCCCCAGAAAGACAGACACUGGCCACCCAUCCACACCCUGGAUACCCAGUCCAGCCUGUGGCCGGUGUUCCUCUGUUACUUUCUGCAGCUCUGCCUUCCUGCUUGGCAUAAACCAGGUGCAGGAUGCCCUGCUGGGGUCCGAGGCUGUGAGGGUCUUGGCUCAAAGCUGGGCAAUCAUUCAGGGGGUGCCCUGGCUGCUGUGG